rnacentral:rRNA from 1 species
AUUGAACGCUGGCGGCAGGCCUAACACAUGCAAGUCGAGCGAGCGGCGGACGGGUGAGUAAUGCCUGGGAAUUGCCCAGUCGAGGGGGAUAACAGUUGGAAACGACUGCUAAUACCGCAUACGAUUGGAUUGCCCAGGUGGGAUUAGCUAGUUGGUGGGGUAAUGGCUCACCAAGGCGACGAUCCCUAGCAGGUCUGAGAGGAUGAGCAUCCACACUGGAACUGCGAAACGGUGCAGACUCCUACGGGAGGCAGCAGGGAGGAAUAUUGCACAAUGGGCGAAGCCCUGAUGCAGCCAUGCCGCGUGUGUAAAGAAGGCCAUCGGGUUGUAAAGAACUUUCAGCGAGGAGGCGUUACUCGCAGAAGAAGCACCGGCUAACUCCGUUCCAGCCGCCGCGGUAAUAC